GUGAGUCAUCGAAUCUUUGAACGCACAUUGCGCUUCCUGGUAUUCCGGGGAGCAUGCUCGUUUCAGAAUCAUUAAAAUCUCACAACCGCCAUAUAUGGUUUUGACCUGUGGAGGUAGUGGAUUUGAGUGCUUUGUUUGAAUCCAGACAAUCACUUUAAAAUGAUUUUGUACGUAUCACUUGCCCACAUCGUUGAGUUACUAACAGUGCGACAAUACUUGUAUCACUUUUGGUAUGCUUGGAUUGGACAUUUUGAUUGUACACCACAUUAAUACAUUGCGGACGUAAAGUCAGCUUUGAAA
rnacentral:misc_RNA from 1 species